rnacentral:lncRNA from 1 species
ACGUUUGAUACACCUUAUACACGUCUGAUACACCUAAUAUACGUCUGAUACACCUAAUACACUCUUUGAUACACCUAAUACUUCUUGAUACACUUGAUACUUCUUGAUACACUUGAUACUUCUUGAUACACCCGAUACAUUUGAUUGAUAAACUUGAUGCACAUGAUACUCUUUAAUACACUCGAUACCAAAACAUACUAGUAUGUGUUUGAUACACCUCAUACACUGCAUAUACAUUUAAUAUUCUUCACUUAUACAAUUGAUUGAUUAAAUGCAUUUGAUAUGCUUGAAGUCCUACUUAUACACUUGAUAUACUAUUGAUAUACACUUGUAAACAACUCAUAUACUUGAUAAUG